GAGCACCUCCAUGAGCAGCAGAAGUCCAUAUUUAUUCUCUGGGCUAUGUGAUUUGGAGAAACAAGGGUAUCCUUUGGGUCAGACCCUCUACCUCCAACUUCAGUGCUCUUUCUACUGCACCACAGACAACUUGCUUUUGCUGUGAAAACCACUGGUGCCAGGAGACCGAAACCAGCUACAGAUUACUCUUGCUAAUGAUCAGCCCAGACUGAAAAGCCAGCCACACGGGCGUAAAUAAAAUAAUACUUAAAAAAAUUACUUGGGUUGCCAUCCCAACGUUGAUUGAAAGGUUUCAGAGAUUGGAUCUAUUAGAGCAAACUGCUGAUUCAUCUUUGUUUCUCUACUGUUAACUGAGUUUCUAACAUUCAGGGACAUCCUAAUCACUCUCACAGAAAGAAAAGACAAACUCCUUGAUUUCAAAAUCAUGGGAAUACAUUUUUUGGAGAGAGUGACCUCAACUUCUUUUCCUUUUCUGAGGGUCCUAUUAUUCAAGAAACAUAUUUUGACCCCAGUUGUGUGCUAGGAAAUGUGCAAAGUGCAUUACAUACCUUGACUUACUGAAUCUUCCCACAGACCCCACAUAUAGGAGCCAUCGGAUCCCUGUGUACAGAUGAAGAACCGGGUCUUGGAAAGCUUAACUACCUUGCUCAUAGUCGCACAUUAAGGUCUAAAGUGAGAAAUUAAACCAAGUCUUCCAACCUCAAAGACUUUAAAGGAAAAGCUACAAGUUAUAAGGUGCUCCUAGUGGAGGGGAAAAAUGAAGUAAAGAAGACAACAGAGUACUGCCCAGGGAUCAAUGUGUCUCCGUGGGAAAGCCCUAAAGCUCCAGAUUGUGACAAAAACCCUGCCAUACAAGUUUCCAAUCAUGGCAGCCUUGUCACUAAAGACCAAGUCAACUGUAGAUGGGCUGUGACUGAGUAGGAGGAGGGCGUCACUCUCAAAGUUGAGGGUGUUUGAAUGAACAGUGAGUUUUCCUGUGUCUCUAUGGGAAAUCCAGACUUUGCCUAUAACAAAUUAGCUAGAACCUGUGCCACAAGAAACACACCUGUGAGAACUCCAAGGCCAACCUGAUGACCAGGGCAUGUUGUCAGAAGUAUCCAGAAUCCAAUGUCAAGCUGGUGAAUUCCACCCUGAUCACAAAUAAGAAACCCAGCCACUAUGACAUGGAACUCAUGCCCAUAGUGUGGGAUAAGGUCAAAAAGUCCACUCACAGAGACCCAAGCAAGGUCAAACCGUGCUUCCCCAAGCAGAAGACCCAGAUCCAACAGUUAUUCUCUACAGAGUCAUUGAGGAUAAAAGAGAUCACCCCCACAGGGCCAAUCAAGUCCAAAAAGACCACCCCUACAGAGCCAAUCAAGAUCUCAAACACCACCCCCACAGAGCCAAUCACCACCAAGAUACCACUGCCAUAGAGCAAACUGAAGAGUCCAUUCCCACUGAGACAAUCAAGACAGAAAAGAUCACUACCACAGAGCAGGUGGAAAUGGAAAAGAACCAUCCCUACAGAGCUAAUGGAGGUCCCAGAGACCACUCCCAAAUAUCGGAUGGAAAUGGGAGAGUUCACAGAGCCAAGCCAGGACAUAGAAAGCACCCUCACCAGCUCAACACAGACACAAAUCUUGACCACUGCUAAACCCAGUUAUGUAAAUACACCAGGCAGCAAAACCCCAUUAAAGACAGUCCAGCAGACGGAUCAGCAAAUGGACCAGCCAGUAGAUCAGUAGUAAUGUGGAAAGUCCUACAGCUCCUUCUGCAAUAUCUUCCUCAUGGUAUUACAGACAUGUAAUGGUAAUUAGGUUAAGAGAACAGGGCAGGUCAUGUCAUAAGCCCCUCUGUAUGCUGUAAAGUUUCCCAUAAGCUAUGAACUUUUGUGGUAUGAGAGUAGAGUGGAAUAUUUAACAUAUUUUAUAAUUUUUGCUCUUUCUGUUUUGCUUUAUAUUCACUUCCUUGGAUAUGAUUUUUAGAGGCUAUCUACCUCAUUAUAUACUUCCAUGGCCCACACAGCUAUGUGCCUAUCAGCAGAGAAGACCUGUCCUUGAGCUGAAGGAGGCAGAGUGAUGAACUUACUGCUGAAUUAACAAAGAUAAUAUAGCUCUGAAUGAUUUUCAGAAAUGUUUUCAACCCUUGUUAGAUUUCUUUGUGUCUAGUACCAAGUGAACUCAUAAUGUAGUCCCUAUACAUCAGUGGAAAAACUAAGGAACAACUUCUAGUUUUCUACCUAUCUCCUAAUGCAACCCAUUUCAGAAUCCCCCUUUAUAGUUUUAUCCCUUGGUCUGUGGUGCUAAAUGCUUAUUGAAGUGUAAUAAUUAGGAUCCCUGUUUUCAGGCAGGAUACUCGGUACAUGCUAUGGUUAAAUCACCUGUUAGGGUCUCAUUGGUGGUAAGAGGGGAUGCAGGAUUAGAACCCAGGAGUUCUUGCAGCAGAGUUCACAGGAUUGAGGAACCUCCUGUACCGACUCAGGUCAGAACUGCCCAUUCUCACCACCAUCUGCAGGACCCUGUCCUUGCAGAACUCAUUUGUGGAGAAGAAAGAUCUGGUUGCAUAGAGUGCCCUGUGAUGAGGGCUGUAAUGGAAGGGGCAGAGAGCUCCAUGGAAAACCAGAGAGAGGAGGCAGAAACUGCUGCAAUAUCUGGGCUUGAGCUUCACAGGGAAGGUAAUAUUGGAGCUGGAUUUUGGAGAGAUUAUCUUUAGGAAUAAAAUGGGGCAAAGUAGAGGUACUCUAGGUGUUUGACAACAUGAAUGAAAGAGAAGAAAUGGGAAAUUCCAGAUUCUGAGAGAGGUCAGGUGGCUGGGAUGGGAUGAGAUGAGACUGCUGUUGGUCAUUUACACAUUAGUAUGAGGGAUCUGAAAGUGUUUCAUUUCGAGAGUUGGGGAAGAGGAUGAACUGUCCCCAAUGCCUAAUCAUAAUUUCACAGACAGGGAAAAGUGAGGAGCAGAAGUUGGUGAAGCACUGUUCUCUAGCAUGUCUGAUAGUGGCAGGGAGGAAUGGAAGGUAGGGUGGAAGGACAGUCCUUUAUACUCCCCAACCUACUGAGAUAUAAACUGAGAAUGUCAGAGGCCAAUCCACAGUGCCACUACCUCAGACUGACAUUUGGAUGUCAUUAUCAACAUCAUCAAAACUAACACUUAUCUCUCAUCUGCUAUGUGCCAGGCAUGGUGCUAAGCUUUUCCCAUGCAUGAUGCCUGCAUUCAUUUAUUCACUCACUUACUCAACAUAUAACUUACAGAGCACUGACUCGUGCCAGGCUCGGUUCUAGGUGCCAGAGAUACAGCAAUGGAUGUACAAGAGAUGGGUCCUCUGCCCUCAUAGAACCUGGCAGUGGGGAAAUUGGUGAUGAACUCAUGAUUAUACAUGAGUUAAGAGGAAAAGUACAGCAAAGGAAGGGAAUAAAAGCGAUAGAAGGUAACUAUUUUUAGGUGGGGUGGUCAGGUGAGGCAUCCCUGUGGAGGUGACUUUUGAGUCUAGACCCAAAUGGAGGAAUUGAACCAUUUAACCCUGGGCUAAAAAUGUCCCAAAUAGAGGGAAUGGUCAGAGAAAAUUCCCUGAUGUUAAUUAAUUUAUUUACUGCUUACUAUAUACUUAUAUUCCAAUGACUAGGAUCACACUCUGCCUGUUCAGGAAACAUCAAGGAAUGUGUAUCAUUGUAGUAUGGGGCCAAGGCCUGACUGUGAACCCUACCACCACACCCAGGGAGUUGAACAGACAUUCCAGACCCUUCCCAAACUCCUUUUAGUCACAACAAAUGAGGGAAUAUUCCCUUGAGGUCUACACAGGUUCUCACAGGCCUCCUACCUGACUUAUACAACUCAACUGAGAUUGGAAAAGACUGGUAAACUCUUUUAGAGAUUAUUACAUAGUAACCCUGGUCUAAUGUGGGUUGGUGCUGUGGUUUCAAUGUUUGUGUUUCCUACAAAAUUCAUGUUAAAACUUAACCCCAAUGCAACAGCAUUAAGAGUUGGGAUGUACAGGUGGUGAUUAGGUCAUGAAGGCAGAUGAGAUUAGUACCAUGUAAAAGGGCUGAAGGAGGGAACUAGCUAGGUCCUUUUUGGCUUAUUGUCACUCAAGAACAUGGUGUUUGAUCUUUCCAAAGGACGCAGCAAGGUCCCAUCUUGGAAGCAGAUACUAGGCCAUUGUCAGACAGCUAGUCUGCUGGUGUCAUGAUCUUUAACUUCCUAGCCUCCAAAACUGAGAGAAAUAAAUUUCUCUUCUUUAGAAAUUA